GCAUAUCAAUAAGCGGAGGAAAAGAAACUAACUAGGAUUCCCUUAGUAACGGCGAGUGAACCGGGAUGAGCUCAAAUUUAAAAUCUGGCGUCUUUCAGGCGUCCGAGUUGUAAUCUAUAGAGGCGUUUUCCGCGCCGGACCGCGUCCAAGUCUCUUGGAAUAGAGUAUCAAAGAGGGUGACAAUCCCGUACUUGACGCGACAACCGGUGCUCUGUGAUACGUUCUCAAUGAGUCGAGUUGUUUGGGAAUGCAGCUCUAAAUGGGUGGUAAAUUCCAUCUAAGGCUAAAUAUUGGCGAGAGACCGAUAGCGAACAAGUACCGUGAGGGAAAGAUGAAAAGCACUUUGGAAAGAGAGUUAAACAGCACGUGAAAUUGUUAAAAGGGAAACGAUUGAAGUCAGUCGUGUGAAAGGUAUUCAGCCGUCUCUGGCGGUGUAUUUGCCUUUCACGGGUCAACAUCAGUUUGAUCCGGUAGAAAAAGGCAGGAGGAAGGUGGCACCCUCGGGUGUGUUAUAGCCUCUUGUCAUAUGUGCCGGACCAGACUGAGGAACGCAGCUUGCCGCAAGGCCGGGGUUCGCCCACGUACAAGCUUAGGAUGUUGACAUA
rnacentral:rRNA from 1 species